rnacentral:rRNA from 1 species
UACGUAGGGGGCAAGCGUUGUCCGGAAUCAUUGGGCGUAAAGCGCGCGUAGGCGGCCUCAUAAGUCCGUUGUGAAAGUCAAAGGCUCAACCUUUGAAAGCCGAUGGAUACUGUGAGGCUAGAGUCCGGAAGAGGCGAGUGGAAUUCCUGGUGUAGCAGUGAAAUGCGUAGAGAUGUGGAGGAACACCAGUGGCGAAGGCGGCUUCCUGGUCCAACACUGACACUGAGGUGCGAAAGCGUGGGGAGCAAACAGG